CCCUUAGAUGUCCUGGGCCGCACGCGCGCUACACUGAACGGAUCAGCGCGUUUUCCCUUCCCGAGAGGGACGGGUGACCUGCUGAACCCCGUUCGUGGUAGGGAUCGGGGCUUGCAAUUAUUCCCCGUGAACCAGGAAUGCCCAGUAAGUGCAAGUCAUAAGCUUGCGUUGAUUACGUCCCUGCCCUUUGUACACACCGCCCGUCGCUACUACCGAUUGAACGUUUUAGUGAGGUACUCGGACUGAGCCUCAGAAGAUUCACGUCUUUUGUGCUGCUCGGGAAGAUUCCCAAACUUGAGCGUUUAGAGGAAGUAAAAGUCGUAACA
rnacentral:rRNA from 1 species